rnacentral:rRNA from 9 species
CGGUUAAGUUAGAAAGGGCGCACGGUGGAUGCCUUGGCACUAGGAGCCGAUGAAGGACGGGACGAACACCGAUAUGCUUCGGGGAGCUGUAAGCAAGCUUUGAUCCGGAGAUUUCCGAAUGGGGAAACCCACCACUCGUAAUGGAGUGGUAUCCAUAUCUGAAUACAUAGGAUAUGAGAAGGCAGACCCGGGGAACUGAAACAUCUAAGUACCCGGAGGAAGAGAAAGCAAAUGCGAUUCCCUGAGUAGCGGCGAGCGAAACGGGACCAGCCCAAACCAAGAGGCUUGCCUCUUGGGGUUGUAGGACACUCUGUACGGAGUUACAAAGGAACGAGGUAGAUGAAGAGGUCUGGAAAGGCCCGCCAUAGAAGGUAACAGCCCUGUAGUCAAAACUUCGUUCUCUCCUGAGUGGAUCCUGAGUACGGCGGAACACGUGAAAUUCCGUCGGAAUCCGGGAGGACCAUCUCCCAAGGCUAAAUACUCCCUAGUGACCGAUAGUGAACCAGUACCGUGAGGGAAAGGUGAAAAGCACCCCGGAAGGGGAGUGAAAGAGAUCCUGAAACCGUGUGCCUACAAGUAGUCAGAGCCCGUUAACGGGUGAUGGCGUGCCUUUUGUAGAAUGAACCGGCGAGUUACGAUCCCGUGCAAGGUUAAGCAGAAGAUGCGGAGCCGCAGCGAAAGCGAGUCUGAAUAGGGCGAAUUGAGUACGUGGUCGUAGACCCGAAACCAGGUGAUCUACCCAUGUCCAGGGUGAAGUUCAGGUAACACUGAAUGGAGGCCCGAACCCACGCACGUUGAAAAGUGCGGGGAUGAGGUGUGGGUAGGGGUGAAAUGCCAAUCGAACCUGGAGAUAGCUGGUUCUCUCCGAAAUAGCUUUAGGGCUAGCCUCAAGGUAAGAGUCUCGGAGGUAGAGCACUGAUUGGACUAGGGGCCCCUACCGGGUUACCGAAUUCAGUCAAACUCCGAAUGCCGAUGACUUAUCCUUGGGAGUCAGACUGCGAGUGAUAAGAUCCGUAGUCGAAAGGGAAACAGCCCAGACCGCCAGCUAAGGUCCCAAAGUAUACGUUAAGUGGAAAAGGAUGUGGAGUUGCUUAGACAACCAGGAUGUUGGCUUAGAAGCAGCCACCAUUUAAAGAGUGCGUAAUAGCUCACUGGUCGAGUGACUCUGCGCCGAAAAUGUACCGGGGCUAAACGUAUCACCGAAGCUGCGGACUGUUCUUCGAACAGUGGUAGGAGAGCGUUCUAAGGGCUGUGAAGCAAGACCGGAAGGACUUGUGGAGCGCUUAGAAGUGAGAAUGCCGGUAUGAGUAGCGAAAGAGGGGUGAGAAUCCCCUCCACCGAAUGCCUAAGGUUUCCUGAGGAAGGCUCGUCCGCUCAGGGUUAGUCGGGACCUAAGCCGAGGCCGAAAGGCGUAGGCGAUGGAUAACAGGUUGAUAUUCCUGUACCACCUCCUCACCAUUUGAGCAAUGGGGGGACGCAGGAGGAUAGGGUAAGCGCGGUAUUGGAUAUCCGCGUCCAAGCAGUUAGGCUGGGAAAUAGGCAAAUCCGUUUCCCGUGAAGGCUGAGCUGUGAUGGCGAGCGAAUUAUAGUAGCGAAGUUCCUGAUUCCACACUGCCAAGAAAAGCCUCUAGCGAGGUGAGAGGUGCCCGUACCGCAAACCGACACAGGUAGGCGAGGAGAGAAUCCUAAGGUGAUCGAGAGAACUCUCGUUAAGGAACUCGGCAAAAUGACCCCGUAACUUCGGGAGAAGGGGUGCUCUGUUAGGGUGCAAGCCCGAGAGAGCCGCAGUGAAUAGGCCCAGGCGACUGUUUAGCAAAAACACAGGUCUCUGCGAAGCCGUAAGGCGAAGUAUAGGGGCUGACGCCUGCCCGGUGCUGGAAGGUUAAGAGGAGCGCUUAGCGUAAGCGAAGGUGCGAAUUGAAGCCCCAGUAAACGGCGGCCGUAACUAUAACGGUCCUAAGGUAGCGAAAUUCCUUGUCGGGUAAGUUCCGACCCGCACGAAAGGCGCAACGAUCUGGGCACUGUCUCAACGAGAGACUCGGUGAAAUUAUAGUACCUGUGAAGAUGCAGGUUACCCGCGACAGGACGGAAAGACCCCGUGGAGCUUUACUGCAGCCUGAUAUUGAAUGUUGGUACAGCUUGUACAGGAUAGGUAGGAGCCUUGGAAACCGGAGCGCCAGCUUCGGUGGAGGCAUCGGUGGGAUACUACCCUGGCUGUAUUGACCUUCUAACCCGCCGCCCUUAUCGGGCGGGGAGACAGUGUCAGGUGGGCAGUUUGACUGGGGCGGUCGCCUCCUAAAAGGUAACGGAGGCGCCCAAAGGUUCCCUCAGAAUGGUUGGAAAUCAUUCGCAGAGUGUAAAGGCACAAGGGAGCUUGACUGCGAGACCUACAAGUCGAGCAGGGACGAAAGUCGGGCUUAGUGAUCCGGUGGUUCCGCAUGGAAGGGCCAUCGCUCAACGGAUAAAAGCUACCCCGGGGAUAACAGGCUUAUCUCCCCCAAGAGUCCACAUCGACGGGGAGGUUUGGCACCUCGAUGUCGGCUCAUCGCAUCCUGGGGCUGUAGUCGGUCCCAAGGGUUGGGCUGUUCGCCCAUUAAAGCGGUACGCGAGCUGGGUUCAGAACGUCGUGAGACAGUUCGGUCCCUAUCCGUCGCGGGCGCAGGAAAUUUGAGAGGAGCUGUCCUUAGUACGAGAGGACCGGGAUGGACGCACCGCUGGUGUACCAGUUGUUCUGCCAAGGGCAUCGCUGGGUAGCUAUGUGCGGACGGGAUAAGUGCUGAAAGCAUCUAAGCAUGAAGCCCCCCUCAAGAUGAGAUUUCCCAUUCCGCAAGGAAGUAAGAUCCCUGAAAGAUGAUCAGGUUGAUAGGUCUGAGGUGGAAGUGUGGCGACACAUGGAGCUGACAGAUACUAAUCGAUCGAGGACUUAACCAAUUU